UUUGCUUCCCCUCCCUCUCGGCAUGCAUACAUCUCACAAUCACCUUCUUGGUGCAGAGAGUGACUUCUCUGUUUGUACCACUGACAGUGCCUUCAGACUUACCUGUCUGGCUUCUCUGUGCUACAACAUCAUGUAGAGUCACAUUCAACCCCCAGAUAAUAUUAUGAAGACUAAGAAGUUUACACGGAGGAGAGAGAUAAAUUUAUGGAAAAAAAAGCUUAAGAGGAUGGCUGAAAACACAGACAUCACCUGUGGCUCAGAAAGACGCCAAGCUGCAAGCUGUUGAAGGCUGGAAUAACAUUUUGGCAAAUGAUUGUUGCAUGCUUCCUCUGUUCCCUGUGGAUGUACCUCUGGACAUUUUCUGAGGAAGGAUACUGAGCUAGACAAACCCUUGAUCUGACCCACUCAUCUGGGCUGAAGUGCGUUCGUGCAAAUAACGCAAAGGAACAGAACAAAUGAAAGAACCAGGCUCGGCCGCUCUGCCCGUUGAGCACAGCUGUGUUUCAAUGGUACAAACCUUAUUAAAAAUGUCACAUUUGAUGUCUGCAAUGCUCUUCUGAGUUCCUACUGAAAAGGAAACUGGACUCCUUCCAAAGUCAGGCACUUUGUGCAUUGCUGUGCAACAAUGAAAAAGCCAUUUGGGGUCAGCAGUAACAGUAAAAUGAAUGGACAGCAAAGCAGUGCCUCAUUACUCAGCUUGACUGAAGACAGAAGAAUAUUUGAUGAUCACUUUUAUAUUCUGUCUCUGAAGCUGACCACAAUUAAGCUGAGUCAAAAUGUUGAUGGCUACUGGGAUGCCACUGAGAUUCAAAUGUUAUGUAGAAUCCCCUGGUAUGUGAAGACCCAGCAACAUAUUUCUAUGGUCUAAUUAAAAACAAUUACAGAAAUGUAAUGAACACUGUGUUAGUGCAAAAUAUGGUCCUAACAAGAGAAGAUGGAACACUUGUGAGAGCUGAAAAAAUGCCCAGCUGGCUGAAGGAUCAAAAGGUCAAACAUAUUUCACCAUUGUUUGCAGUUUCCUUCAGGAAUUAUAAACAGAAGGAUCUUUGAGAAACUUAAGCAAGAAAAAUAGCUACAGCAGCACC